GAUUAAGUUAUUAAGGGCGCACGGUGGAUGCCUUGGCACUAGAAGCCGAUGAAGGACGUUACUAACGACGAUAUGCUUUGGGGAGCUGUAAGUAAGCUUUGAUCCAGAGAUUUCCGAAUGGGGAAACCCAGCAUGAGUUAUGUCAUGUUAUCGAUAUGUGAAUACAUAGCAUAUCAGAAGGCACACCCGGAGAACUGAAACAUCUUAGUACCCGGAGGAAGAGAAAGAAAAUUCGAUUCCCUUAGUAGCGGCGAGCGAAACGGGAAGAGCCCAAACCAACAAGCUUGCUUGUUGGGGUUGUAGGACACUCUAUACGGAGUUACAAAGGACGACAUUAGACGAAUCAUCUGGAAAGAUGAAUCAAAGAAGGUAAUAAUCCUGUAGUCGAAAAUGUUGUCUCUCUUGAGUGGAUCCUGAGUACGACGGAGCACGUGAAAUUCCGUCGGAAUCUGGGAGGACCAUCUCCUAAGGCUAAAUACUCUCUAGUGACCGAUAGUGAACCAGUACCGUGAGGGAAAGGUGAAAAGCACCCCGGAAGGGGAGUGAAAUAGAACCUGAAACCGUGUGCUUACAAGUAGUCAGAGCCCGUUAAUGGGUGAUGGCGUGCCUUUUGUAGAAUGAACCGGCGAGUUACGAUUUGAUGCAAGGUUAAGCAGUAAAUGUGGAGCCGUAGCGAAAGCGAGUCUGAAUAGGGCGUUUAGUAUUUGGUCGUAGACCCGAAACCAGGUGAUCUACCCUUGGUCAGGUUGAAGUUCAGGUAACACUGAAUGGAGGACCGAACCGACUUACGUUGAAAAGUGAGCGGAUGAACUGAGGGUAGCGGAGAAAUUCCAAUCGAACCUGGAGAUAGCUGGUUCUCUCCGAAAUAGCUUUAGGGCUAGCCUCAAGUGAUGAUUAUUGGAGGUAGAGCACUGUUUGGACGAGGGGCCCCUCUCGGGUUACCGAAUUCAGACAAACUCCGAAUGCCAAUUAAUUUAACUUGGGAGUCAGAACAUGGGUGAUAAGGUCCGUGUUCGAAAGGGAAACAGCCCAGACCACCAGCUAAGGUCCCAAAAUAUAUGUUAAGUGGAAAAGGAUGUGGCGUUGCCCAGACAACUAGGAUGUUGGCUUAGAAGCAGCCAUCAUUUAAAGAGUGCGUAAUAGCUCACUAGUCGAGUGACACUGCGCCGAAAAUGUACCGGGGCUAAACAUAUUACCGAAGCUGUGGAUUGUCCUUUGGACAAUGGUAGGAGAGCGUUCUAAGGGCGUUGAAGCAUGAUCGUAAGGACAUGUGGAGCGCUUAGAAGUGAGAAUGCCGGUGUGAGUAGCGAAAGACGGGUGAGAAUCCCGUCCACCGAUUGACUAAGGUUUCCAGAGGAAGGCUCGUCCGCUCUGGGUUAGUCGGGUCCUAAGCUGAGGCCGACAGGCGUAGGCGAUGGAUAACAGGUUGAUAUUCCUGUACCACCUAUAAUCGUUUUAAUCGAUGGGGGGACGCAGUAGGAUAGGCGAAGCGUGCGAUUGGAUUGCACGUCUAAGCAGUAAGGCUGAGUAUUAGGCAAAUCCGGUACUCGUUAAGGC
rnacentral:rRNA from 1 species